AAAAUGCACAUACUGUGAGCUCGAUGAGUAGGGCGGGACACGUGGUAUCCUGUCUGAAUAUGGGGGGACCAUCCUCCAAGGCUAAAUACUCCUGACUGACCGAUAGUGAACCAGUACCGUGAGGGAAAGGCGAAAAGAACCCCGGCGAGGGGAGUGAAAAAGAACCUGAAACCGUGUACGUACAAGCAGUGGGAGCCUCUUAAUGGGGUGACUGCGUACCUUUUGUAUAAUGGGUCAGCGACUUAUAUUCUGUAGCAAGGUUAACCGAAUAGGGGAGCCGAAGGGAAACCGAGUCUUAACUGGGCGUUAAGUUGCAGGGUAUAGACCCGAAACCCGGUGAUCUAGCCAUGGGCAGGUUGAAGGUUGGGUAACACUAACUGGAGGACCGAACCGACUAAUGUUGAAAAAUUAGCGGAUGACUUGUGGCUGGGGGUGAAAGGCCAAUCAAACCGGGAGAUAGCUGGUUCUCCCCGAAAGCUAUUUAGGUAGCGCCUCGUGAAUUCAUCUCCGGGGGUAGAGCACUGUUUCGGCAAGGGGGUCAUCCCGACUUACCAACCCGAUGCAAACUGCGAAUACCGGAGAAUGUUAUCACGGGAGACACACGGCGGGUGCUAACGUCCGUCGUGAAGAGGGAAACAACCCAGACCGCCAGCUAAGGUCCCAAAGUCAUGGUUAAGUGGGAAACGAUGUGGGAAGGCCCAGACAGCCAGGAUGUUGGCUUAGAAGCAGCCAUCAUUUAAAGAAAGCGUAAUAGCUCACUGGUCGAGUCGGCCUGCGCGGAAGAUGUAACGGGGCUAAACCAUG
rnacentral:rRNA from 1 species